AAUACAGGGUUUUACUCUUAACACCCAGUUUGGAGUGCAGUGGCAUGAUCACAGCUCACUGCAACCUCUGUCUCCCGGGUUCAAGGGAUUCUCUUGCCCUCAGCCUCUUGAGUAGCUGGGAUUACAGGUGCCUGCCAUCAUGCCCAGCUAAUUUUUGUAUUUAAGUAGAGAUGGGGUUUCACCAUGUUGGCCAGGCUGGUCUCAAACUCCUGACCUCUGGUGAUCCACUUGCCUCGGCCUCCUAAAGUGCUGGGAUCACAGGCAGGAGCCAUCAUCCCUGGCCAGGAAGUUUCUUUUUUCAAACUUGUAUUUUUCCUCUCCAGAAUCUCUUAGGAUUUUUUACUUUUUUUGUUUUCCUCAUUUUUCUUUAAUACAGUUGCCAUCUUACAUAAUGUACUAUUAAGUGCCUUCUUAAUAGCUUCUAAUCUACCCUUCUGUUACACUGGGUGGCAUCCUGGGAUGGAACUCUUGUUACCACUCAUGUUUGUGGAGUACUGUUCUUUAGUACGGUACAUCUGACUCAUAUGGUCAGGCCAUAUAAUUCAUGGGUAGUGGUAUUAAUUUCUAUAACUGAAUUAAUGCACACAUCCAAACCAUAUAUAUUUCUUUCUUUUUCUUUCUUUUUUUUUUUUUUUUUUUUUGAGACGGAGUCUUGCUCUGUCGCCCAGGCUGGAGUGCAGUGGCGCAAUCUUGGCUCACUGCAGCCUCCGCCUCCCAGGUUCAAGUGAUUCUCCUGCCUCAGCCUCCCGACUAGCUGGGAUUACAGGCAUGCACUACCACACCUGGCUAAUUUUUGUGUUUUUAGUAGAGAUGGGGUUUCACCAUGUUGGCCAGCCUGGUCUCGAACUUCUGACCUCAGGUGAUCCACCCGUCUUGGCCUCCCAAAGUGUUGGGAUUACAGGUGUGCGCCACUGCGCCCUGCCUAUAUAUUUUUCAACUUAGAGUUCAUACAAAGUCUGUUUCCUUUCUAUAGUAGCUAUUGCUUCAGAUUGUGGUUUAAAAAUCCAAGAAGUGGGAAGAAUGUCUUUGUUUGUUUUCAUUGCUGCUUUCUUCCUUUUUUCUUUUCUAUCUUCCUUCCCUCCAUUUUCUUUCUUCCGUUCAUUUCUUUCUUUCUUUUUUUCUUUCUUAAUAAGAGGUUAACAGAAAUGGGUUAUUAAGGAAAUCAAAGUCUAGUAAAUGUUCAAAACAUGAGAUCAGAGUAGUCACAAACUCUUCUUUGUAGUGAUGUUAAAUUACUGACAAAUGUUUUUUGAAUACAGAAAAAGCCUUUUUUUUCUUUUUUUUUUGAGACGAAGUCUCCCUCUGUCGCCUAGGCUGGAGUGCAGUGGCGCGAUCUCGGUUCACUGCAACCUUUGCCUCCCAGGUUCAAGUGAUUCUCCUGCCUCAGCCUCCCGAGUACCUGGGAUUACAGGCACCUGCCACCGUGCCUGGCUAAUUUUUGUAUUUUUAGUAGAGACAGGGUUUCACUAUCUUGGCCAGGCUGAUCUUGAACUCCUGACCUCGUGAUCCACCCACCUUGGCCUCCCAAAGUGGUGAGAUUACAGGUGUGAGCCACCGUGCCCAGCCAAAAAUCCAAUUUCUUAUUUCAAUUUAUGUGUAUUUUUUUUUUUUUUUUUGAGAUGGAGUUUUGCUCUGUUGCCUCGGCUGGAGUGCAGUGGCACAAUCUUGGCUCACUGCAACCUCUGCCUCCUGGGUUCAAGCAAUUCUCGUGCCUCAGUCUCCUGAGUUGCUGGGAUUACAGGUGUGUGCCACCACGCCUGGCUAAUUUUUUUGUAUUUUUCGUAGAGACGGGAUUUCACCAUGUUGGCCAGGCUGGUCUCGAACUUCUGACCUCAAAUGAUCAUCCACCUUGGCCUCCCAAAGUGCUGGGAUUACAGGCGUGAGUCACCGUGCCUGGCCAUAUAUGUAUAUUUUUUCUCACAGCUGAGGCAAAGAUCAAUUUAUGUGUAUUUUAUUUUUAUUUAUUUAUUUAUUUAUUUGAAAUGGUCUCACUAUAUUGCUCAGGUUGGGGUGCAGUGGUACGGUCUCAGCUCACCGCAACCUCUGCCUCCUGGGCUGAAGCCAUCUUCUGAUUUUAGCCUUCCGAGUAGCUGGAAGGUGCAUGCCACCAUGCCCAGCUAAUUUUUGUAGUUUUUGUAGAGAUGGGGGUGUCACCAUGUUGUGUUGGCUGGUCUCAAACUCCUGAGCUCAAACAGUCCACCCACCUCAGCCUCCCAAAGUGCUAGGAUUACAAGCAUGUGCCACCACUCCCAGCCUGUAUUUUUAUUUAUUUAUUUGUUUGUUUGUUUGUUUGACGGAAUCUCACUCUGUUGCCAGGCUGGAGUGCAGUGGCACAAUCUUGGCUCACUGCAGCCUCUGCCUCCUGGUUCUAGUGAUUCUCCUCCCUCAGCCUCCCAAGUAGCUGGGACUACAGGCGUGCACCGCCAUGCCCAGCUAAUUUUUUGUAUUUUUAGUAGAGACCGGGUUUCUCCAUGUUGGCCAGGAUGGUCUCGAUCUCUUGACCUCAUGAUCUGCCUGUCUUGGCCUCCCAAAGUACUGGGAUUACAGGCGUGAGCCACCGUGCCCAGCAGUCUGUAUUUUAUUUUUGAAUAAUUAUGUGUUGUUUGGACAUAAGUAGUUACUAAAUUACUUUACCUAAUUAUGUAAUAAAUGGAAUCAUUAGGUAUUUCCUUUGCCGUAGGGUCCUGUGAACAAAUUACUAAGAUACUAAGGGUUCUGUGAAUGAGUUUAAGAUCCUCUAACUGUAGAUAUGAUCAGUGUUUAUCUAUAUUAUCAAUUUUUUUUAAGAACUUGAUUUUUAGUGGAUGUUUAUACUCUUAUAUGAAUAUGCAAUGCUUUACUGAACUCUCUCUGCUUGUUGAACAUUUAAGUUUUUCCUAAUAUUUUGAUAAUAUGUGUAAUACUAAUAGCUGUUGUUGUGUCUAAAUCUUGGUCCUUAAUAUCUAAUUCUUUCCUUAAAAUAGCGUCUUAUAAGUUAAUUUGCUGUGUCAAAGGGUAUUAGUUGUUUAAGGCUCUUAGUAUUUAUAACCUAAUUUUUUCAUAUAUAGUUUUCUCCACUACUACUAACAAUAUAUAAAAAGUGCCCCUCAUCUCAACCUCAGUGGCUGUGAAUGUUCUUUAUCACAAUUUGACAGUUGAAAUGGUUUCUGCUUUAGCAUGAUAGUAAUUAGAGCUGUUUCUCUAUGAUUUUCCUACAUCUGAGCUAAAGAUCUUACCAGUCUUACAAUUUACAUCUCUCUUAGCUCCUAGGACCUGUAGUUCAUGGUUGAGGUACCACCCCUCUUCCAACCUCACUAGUCUUUACCCAUUUUAUAGUUGGUAAUUAUUUUUGACUUACUAAAAAGCAGGAAGUUUAAGCUGGGCAUGGUGACUCACACUUGUAAUCCCAGCACUUUGGGAGGCCAAGGUGUGUGGAUUGCUUGAGUCCAGGAGUUCCAGACUAGCCUGUGCAACAAGGGGGAACCCUGUCUCUACAAAAAAUACAAAAAUUAUCCAGGCAUGGUGACAUGCACCUGUAGUCCCAGCUACUCAGGAGGCUGAGGUGGGAGAAACACCUGAGCCAGGGAAAGUUGAGGCUACAGUGAGCUGUGAUCGCACCACUGCACUCAAGAUUUGGCGACAGACUGAGACCCUGUCACCAAAACAAAACAAGACAGCAGCAAGUUUUCCUUGGAAUAUUUUAUAUUUAUCUAAUCUUGUCAUCCACAUUUUUCUACUUUUAUGUUAAAGAUAUGUUCUACAAUAUAAUUUACCAGGAAGUUUUCUAGUCAUCUUAAUUUCCUACUCUUAAUUUUUAUUGGAAGAAUGGGUGAUUUUUUUUUUCACAGAUAUAUAUAUAUUAUUCUGAAAAGUAGUGAAGAAUAAACAAAGUUUCAUGUUGUGUUUUGGUAUAGAAAUUGUUAAAAGCAUUUUAAAAAAUAUCAGGCCAGGCGUGGUGGCUCACCCCUGUAAUCCCAGCACUUUGGGAGGCUGAGGCGGGUGGAUCACGAGGUCAGGAGAUCGAGACCAUCCUGGCUAAGAUGGUGAAACCCUGUCUCUACUAAAAAUACAAAAAAAAUUAGCUGGACGUGGUGGUGGGCGCCUGUAGUCCCAGCUACUCGGGAGGCUGAGGCAGGAGAAUCACUUGAACCUGGGAGGCAGAGGUUGCAGUGAGCCAAGAUGACGCUACUGCACUCCAGCCUGGUGACAGAGUGAGACGCGUCUCAAAAAAAAAAAAAAAGUUUCAAACUACUGGAGAGAGGAGAGUGCAAAUCUAGCUGUCAUUUAACACUGGGAAGAACAGGCCAGGCGCGGUCGCUCACAGGUAAUCCUAGCAAUUUGGGAGGCCGAGGUGGGCGGAUCACCUGAGGUCAGGAGUUCGAGACCAGCCUGACCAAAUAUGGUGAAAACCCAUCUCUACUAAAAAUACAAAAGUUAGCUAGGCGUGGUGGCAGACGCCCUUAGUCCCAGUUACUUGGGAGGCUGAGACAGGAGAAUUGCUUGAACCUGGGAGGCAGAGGUUGCAGUGAGCUGAGAUUGCGCCACUGCACUCCAGCCUGGGUGACAGAGCGAGACUCCAUCUUAAAACAAACAAACAAACAAAAAAACUGGGAAGAACACAACUAUGCUGUUUAUCGUGUGUGGAUUUGUCAUUCUGGCUUUGUGCAACAGAAAAACCAAUAUUGUACAAAUAAGAUGUUUAUUUUCCUCUUGUAAUGAAAGGUCCAGAGAUGGGGCAUGCUGGGCUGGUGCAGUUGUGCCAGGAUAUUAACAAGUAUUCACCUCCUUUCCUCUGUCUGUUCAGUGGUUUUUGUACAUGUGGUCCCAAAUGAUUGUUAUGCCUCCAGGUAUUUCUUUCACAUUCUAGUCAGGAAGAAGGGGAAGAGGCAAAGGCUGAAAGGCAAAAGAGACUGUGCCAACCAAAUGGUAAGCAAAUGCCUUCUAUGGAUUAGAGGAACACAAGGGAAAACAGGUUGUGAAUGGCUCUGGGGAAGCCAGUCAGUAAUAGUCUCUGCCACAGUGUGGAACAAAGGGUUCAAUGAAAGGUGGGAAAGAAAUCUUUGAGUUAAUGUUAAGCAGUUAAAACCCACAUUCUUAAUGAUAAGUACAAUUUAUGAACUAUAACUGUCUCCCACACUGUGUAAAGACUUUUCAUAAUCAACCAAAACACAUUUUGUUGACUUUCAUGUCCAUGUAAGUAUAAAGACUUAACAUUUAGGAUAAUUUUUUUUAAGCAAAGCCUUAUAAUGCUGAUGUUGUCCUUAUCUUUUUAGAUAAGUGAUAGGAAAACACCACAGAGAAAUUUGGUAUUUAUAAUAGUGAAGAGAACAGAGUCAUAUUAGAUUUUACCUUUGCUCUAAGCCAAUUAGCCAAGCCUCCUUGUUUAGUUUACUGUCACAAAGACAUUUUCUUUUUCAGCAUUUGAAUAAACAGUAUUUUUUGGGGACUAAAUGAUUUGAAUAAUGUUUAUUCCCUCUUAACAAACUACUCAUAUUUUCCGUUCUCGGGGAAGGAUUUUUGCUCCUGAUUCCUAGUAAAUAUACAUACAAAGGAAAAACAAACUGUGAUGUACCAAAAUCUUUUGAAAACCUAUUUCAAAUCUCAGCUAAUAAAUACUGUCUAGCAGUGGGAUUCUGGUAGUUAAAUAAUCUCUCUGUAUCUCAGUUUCCCCAUCUGUAAGAUCUGUUGGAUGACAAAAUACUCCUCACUGAUUGUUGCGAGGAGUAAUUGAGUCAAAAUGUAUAAAAGUCUCCAGCAAAGCAUUAGUUUAUUUAUUCGCUAAAUCUGUAUAGAGGGGUUUCAAUGAUAAAUUUCCCUGAAGGUUAAGUUAGUAAAUAAAAAGGGUAGAUAUUGAGUAAAAAUUAUAGUCAGUUUUUUGAGAGUGAGGAUUAAUCUGGUUAGAUUCAGCAGGAAGAUAGAAUUUUAUCCACAUCUGUAAUGAAUUGUUAUAAAAAAGUAUUCGCCAUGAAUGUCCAUCCCUCGCCUGUCGCGGCGGGUGGAUCACCUGAGGUCAGGAGUUCGAGACCAGCCUGGCAACAUGGCAAAACCCCGUCUCUACUAAAAAUACCAAAAUUAGCCGGGCGUGGUGGCACGCGUCUGUAAUCCCAGCUACUCGGGAGGCUGAGGCAAGAGAAUCACUUGAACCUGAGAGGCGGAGGUUGCAGUGAGCUGAGAUUGUGCCACUGCAGUGAGCCGAGAUUGUGCCACUGCACUCCAGCCUGGGUGACAGAGCAAGACAACAACAAAAAAAGUUUAUUAUAUUAGGAAAGAAAAAUUGGUUUGAUGAUGGGCUCUUUUACUUUAGCCUUGAAAAUAAAGAAAAAAGGUAAAGGAGAAGACCUUAUCUUUUCUCAAAUUAAAUUAAAAAAAUAAAUAAAGGGCCAGGCGCGGUGGCUCACGCCUGUAAUCUCAGCACUUUGGGAGGCCGAGGUGGGUGGAUCACAAGGUCAAGAGAUCGAGACCAUCCUGGCCAACAUGGUGAAACCCUGUCUCUACUAAACAUACAAAAAUUAGCUGGACAUAGUGGCACGUGCCUAUAGUCCCAGCUACUUGGGAGGGUGAGUCAGGAGAAUUGCUUGAACCCGGGAGGCAGAGGUUGCAGUGAGCUGAGAUCAUGCCACUGCACUCCAGCCUGGCAACAGAAUGGGACUCCGUCUCAAAAAAAAAAAAAGUUUAAGAAAAAAUUAGAAAACAUGCUGGGUGGCUGGGCUUGGUGGCUUAUGCCUGUAAUCCCAGCACUUUGGGAGGUUGAGGUGGGAGGAUUGCUUGAGGCCAGGAGUUCAAGAUCAGCCUAGACAACAUAGCGAGACCCUAUCUCUAAAAAUAAUAAUAGUAAUUAUUAUUAUUUAAAAAACCAAGCUGGGCACAGUGUGUGUGCCUGCAGUCUCAGCUACUCAGAAGGCUGAGGCAGGAGGAUCGCUUGAACCCAGGAGUUUGAAUUCAGCCUGGGCGACAUAGUGAGACCUUGUCUCUAUAAAAAAAAGAAAAAUUAGGAAACAAAGAUAAGCAAAAAGAAGUAAAGUUAUUCAUAGAUAACCAUUAUGAAUGGUGUGGUAUGUUUUUCUACACUUCUUUCUCAGGAAAUACCUACUUUUCUCCAAAAUGCAAUCAUAUUCUACAUACUUUUUAGUAGCCUGUAUUUUACAUUUUACAAUAUAUAAUGAAUAUUUUUCCAUUUUACUAAACCUUCUUUUCCAAUAGUUGUGUUCUGUCCUUUUUUCCUAAAGAAAAUCUAUACCAUUUACAUCUACAACCCUUCCAUCAAUAAUAUCUUUAAUUAUAUGCAGUUAUUCUUGUGAGUAUGGGUAAAAAUCUGCUUUCUGACCUUCUUUCCUCCCAAAAUCACUGUUCUACAUUUUUCUUUUCUUUUACUUUUAAAAUUUGAUUCUAUUUUUCUUUUUUUCCAUGACAGAUCAGAACCAGUGU
rnacentral:lncRNA from 1 species